rnacentral:rRNA from 1 species
UACAGAGGUCCCAAGCGUUGUUCGGAUUCACUGGGCGUAAAGGGUGCGUAGGCGGCCGACUAAGUCGGGUGUGAAAGCCCAGGGCUCAACCCUGGAAGUGCACUCGAAACUGACCGGCUUGAAUAUGGAAGAGGGUCGCGGAAUUCCCGGUGUAGAGGUGAAAUUCGUAGAUAUCGGGAGGAACACCAGUGGCGAAGGCGGCGACCUGGGCCAAUAUUGACGCUGAGGUGCGAAAGCGUGGGGAGCAAACAGG